GUUUGAUAUCUGUAUCAGUCAAUACCUUCUCUAGCCUUGCACUGUACACCAAAGGAGACCUGCUGAGAGAUAUUUCUGGAAAACUCUUGUUGAGUCAAUGUUCAUUUUCUUUUUGUUGAUUGGCUUAAAGGCUUGAAAGCUGCUUUGGUAGAUUUGUUUUUCUGACAUUCCCAAAAUCUUGCACUUCUCUUUCUUCGAGGAGCAGGUGCAGAGAAGACUUAAACUGCUAUUAGAUCAAUCCUGGGAGAUUUAGAUGUGUGUGAUCAGUUUUUGCUUUUGGCUCCUCCUCUGCUUUAAGGGCUCGAAACGCACAAUGUUACACACAUUUACUUGAACUUCAGAAGAGACACGAGUCCCAACAUCUGAUCAGCUUUUGUCCUGUUAUAGUGACAUCAAGAAUGGAUCAAGAUGAGAACAUCAAGCCCCUGGAUGUGGAGCCCCUGUUUAUGCGCUUCCUCCGGACACUGAAAGAACUGCUCAAAUUUGUUCUCUUCAGCUACACUGUGCUGUUCGGCGCUCUGCUCCUGGCCAGGUGGACCACUUACUUUAUAGUGGGAAAGUAAAAGGAGUCGAAGAAUAGGCAUUUUCUUGGAUUUAGAGCUGAGGCUGAUUAAACCAACCCUGCUAGAAUUAAAUCCUUGAUGCGACAACGUCAAGGAUUUGUGAUAUAUUCUCACCCUCUCUCUGAUUUUCACUGUUUUUGUGUGCUUUUUGAAGAAAAAAUAAAAAAAGGGCACUUAGAGGAUGA